UACGAAGGGUGCAAACGUUGCUCGGAAUUAUUGGGCGUAAAGCGCACGUAGGCGGCUUUGUAAGUUGGAUGUGAAAGCCCUCGGCUCAACCAAGGAAGUGCAUCCAAAACUACAAUGCUUGAGUACUUAAGAGGAUCGCGGAAUUCUCGGUGUAGAGGUGAAAUUCGUAGAUAUCGAGAGGAACACCGGCGGCGAAGGCGGCCAACUGGACGAACACUGACGCUGAGACACGAAAGCGUGGGGAGCAAACAGG
rnacentral:rRNA from 1 species